AUACGUAGGUGGCAAGCGUUGUCCGGAAUUAUUGGGCGUAAAGCGCAUGUAGGCGGUUUGGUAAGUCGGUCGUGAAAAUGCGGUGCUUAACGCCGUAUGGCGAUUGAAACUGCUGAACUUGAGUGCAGGAGAGGAAAGGGGAACUCCCAGUGUAGCGGUGAAAUGGGUAGAUAUUGGGAAGAACACCGGUGGCGAAGGCGCCUUGCUGGACUGUGUCUGACUCUCAGAUGCGAAAGCCAGGGUAGCGAACGGGAUUAGAUCCCCCGGUAGGCCUGGCCGUAAACGAUGGGUACUAGGUGGGGGAGGUAGCGACUCCUUCCGUGCCGGAGUUAACGCAAUAAGUACCCCGCCUGGGGAGUACGGCCGCAAGGCUUAAACUCAAAGGAAUUGACGGGG
rnacentral:rRNA from 1 species